rnacentral:tRNA from 1 species
GACCCUAUCAUCUAACGGUUAGGAUACGGCCCUCUCAAGGCCGGUACACGGGUUCAAAUCCCGUUAGGGUCGCCA